rnacentral:rRNA from 1 species
UAGGGAAUCUUCCGCAAUGGACGAAAGUCUGACGGAGCAACACUGCGUGAGGGAUGAAGGCCGAAAGGUUGUAAACCUCUUUUCUGGAGGAAUAAUUCUGAAGGUACUCCAGGAAUAAGCGACUGCUAACUACGUGCCAGCAGCAGCGGUAAUACGUAGGUCGCGAGCGUUAUCCGGAAUCAUUGGGCGUAAAGCGUCUGUAGGCGGCAAGUUAAGUCGAACGUUAAAUAUCACGGCUCAACCGUGGUGCUGUGUUUGAUACUGGCUUGCUAGAGGCUUCUAGAGGCAAGUGGAAUUCUGUGUGUAGGGGUAAAAUCCGUAGAUACACAGAGGAACACCAAAAGCGAAAGCAGCUUGCUGGAGAAGACCUGACGCUUAAGGACGAAAGCGUGGGGAGCGA